GAUGAACGCUAGCGGCAGGCUUAACACAUGCAAGUCGAGGGGUAUGCCGAUUUAUCGGCAGAGACCGGCGCACGGGUGCGUAACGCGUAUGCAAUCUACCUUUCACAGAGGGAUAGCCCAGAGAAAUUUGGAUUAAUACCUCAUAGUAUAGCAGUUUCGCAUGAAACCACUAUUAAAGUCACAACGGUGAAAGAUGAGCAUGCGUCCCAUUAGCUAGUUGGUAAGGUAACGGCUUACCAAGGCAACGAUGGGUAGGGGUCCUGAGAGGGAGAUCCCCCACACUGGUACUGAGACACGGACCAGACUCCUACGGGAGGCAGCAGUGAGGAAUAUUGGACAAUGGGCGCAAGCCUGAUCCAGCCAUGCCGCGUGCAGGAUGACGGUCCUAUGGAUUGAAACUGCUUUUAUACAGGAAGAAACACUACUUCGNGAAGUAGCUUGACGGUACUGUAAGAAUAAGGAUC
rnacentral:rRNA from 1 species